rnacentral:rRNA from 1 species
UGCAGUCGAGCGAGAAAGUAUCUUCGGAUAUGAGUAGAGCGGCGGACGGGUGAGUAACGCGUAGGAAUCUACCUAGUAGAAGGGGAUAGCCCGGGGAAACUCGGAUUAAUACCGUAUACCUCCUAAGGGAGAAAGAGGGCCUCUCUUGAUGCUCUCGCUAUUAGAUGAGCCUGCGUAAGAUUAGCUUGUUGGUAAGGUAAUGGCUUACCAAGGCUACGAUCUUUAGCUGGUCUGAGAGGACGAUCAGCCACAUUGGGACUGAGACACGGCCCAGACUCCUACGGGAGGCAGCAGUGGGGAAUAUUGGACAAUGGGCGCAAGCCUGAUCCAGCCAUACCGCGUGUGUGAAGAAGGCCUUCGGGUUGUAAAGCACUUUAAGCAGGGAGAAAAAGUUAUAAGUUAAUACCUUGUAACCGUGAUGUUACCUGCAGAAUAAGCACCGGCUAAUUCCGUGCCAGCAGCCGCGGUAAUACGGAAGGUGCAAGCGUUAAUCGGAAUUACUGGGCGUAAAGCGCGCGUAGGUGGUUUGUUAAGUUGGAUGUGAAAGCCCUGGGCUCAACCUAGGAACUGCAUCCAAAACUAACUCACUAGAGUACGAUAGAGGGAGGUAGAAUUCAUAGUGUAGCGGUGGAAUGCGUAGAUAUUAUGAAGAAUACCAGUGGCGAAGGCGGCCUCCUGGAUCUGUACUGACACUGAGGUGCGAAAGCGUGGGUAGCGAACAGGAUUA